GACGAACGCUGGCGGCGCGCUUAACACAUGCAAGUCGAGCGAAGCGGCGGACGGGUGAGUAACACGUGAGUAACCUGCCUUAGACAUUGGGAUAGCCUCGGGAAACCGGGAUUAAUACCAAAUGGUCUAAGAUGGACUCGCGUCCCAUUAGCUAGUUGGUGGGUAAAGGCCCACCAAGGCGACGCUGGGUAGCCGGCAAGAGAGAGUGAACGGCGAGAUUGGAACUGAGACACGGUCCGAACUCUACGGGAUGCAGCAGUGGCGAAGAUGGCACAUUGGAGGGAACGCUGAUGCUGCGACGACGCGUGAACGAAGAAGGCUUUCGAGUCGUAAAGUUCUUUUAUCUGGGAAGCGGUACCAUAAGAAAAAGCCCCGGCUAACUACGUGCCAGCAGCCGCGGUAAUAC
rnacentral:rRNA from 1 species